CUUAGAGUCUGCAACUGGUAGUGCUGCUAGGCCUUAGUCUGAGUCAUAGUGGUCGGGGCUUCAGGGUGAGGACCGGGAUCACCCCCGCCGGUCCAGAGGGGGGGAACGGAGCCGGAUCCUCGAGGGUUUAAGCCCCAGGCUGGACACUGUUCAGCAGGAUAGCGGGGCGGCGGCCGUCCACUCCACUCACCGCUGGAGUAGGCCUCAACUUCAGCAUUGAAGAUUUCUUCACCAGGGGACUAAUACUCGUCGAGCAAGCCUCACCCUGGGUUCAGUGCACUCUGCCCGUCGAGGGCCGCCGUUGC